rnacentral:rRNA from 1 species
AUGACGUCAAGUCCGCAUGCUCCUUACGUCUAGGGCUACACACGUCCUACAAUGGGUGGUACAAAGAGAAGCCAACUCGCGAGAGCGCGCCGAUCUCAAAAAGCCAUCCUCAGUUCGGAUUGGAGUCUGCAACUCGACUCCAUGAAGUUGGAAUCGCUAGUAAUCGCGGAUCAGCAUGGCGCGGUGAAUACGUUCCCGGGCCUU